rnacentral:rRNA from 1 species
AGAGUUUGAUCCUGGCUCAGGACGAACGCUGGCGGCGCGCCUAACACAUGCAAGUCGAACGGAGCUGAGAGGAGCUUGCUUUUCUUAGCUUAGUGGCGAACGGGUGAGUAACGCGUGAGUAACCUGCCCUGGAGUGGGGGACAACAGUUGGAAACGACUGCUAAUACCGCAUAAGCCCACGGCCCGGCAUCGGGCUGAGGGAAAAGGAUUUAUUCGCUUCAGGAUGGACUCGCGUCCAAUUAGCUAGUUGGUGAGGUAACGGCCCACCAAGGCGACGAUUGGUAGCCGGACUGAGAGGUUGAACGGCCACAUUGGGACUGAGACACGGCCCAGACUCCUACGGGAGGCAGCAGUGGGGGAUAUUGCACAAUGGGGGAAACCCUGAUGCAGCGACGCCGCGUGGAGGAAGAAGGUUUUCGGAUUGUAAACUCCUGUCGUUAGGGACGAUAAUGACGGUACCUAACAAGAAAGCACCGGCUAACUACGUGCCAGCAGCCGCGGUAAAACGUAGGGUGCAAGCGUUGUCCGGAAUUACUGGGUGUAAAGGGAGCGCAGGCGGACCGGCAAGUUGGAAGUGAAAACUAUGGGCUCAACCCAUAAAUUGCUUUCAAAACUGCUGGCCUUGAGUAGUGCAGAGGUAGGUGGAAUUCCCGGUGUAGCGGUGGAAUGCGUAGAUAUCGGGAGGAACACCAGUGGCGAAGGCGGCCUACUGGGCACCAACUGACGCUGAGGCUCGAAAGUGUGGGUAGCAAACAGGAUUAGAUACCCUGGUAGUCCACACCGUAAACGAUGAUUACUAGGUGUUGGAGGAUUGACCCCUUCAGUGCCGCAGUUAACACAAUAAGUAAUCCACCUGGGGAGUACGACCGCAAGGUUGAAACUCAAAGGAAU